ensembl:snRNA U6 U6 spliceosomal RNA
GUGCUCGCUGCAGCAGCACAUAUACUAAAAUUGGAACGAUAGGGAAGAUUAGCAUGGUCUCUGAGCAAGGAUGACAUGCAAAUUCAUGAAGCAUUCCAUAUUUUU